GGUUGGUGAAUGUGCCUCUUGUCUUCUCUCUUGCAGCCCUCUGAAGUUCUAGCAGCCACGAUAAGCAAGACAACAAGAGUAAAAAUCAGGUUUAAAUGUCCAACGUUUCAGGCUCGUGUUCUUUCAGUGCUAUGAUUCGGAAAAAGACAGCUUGCACAGCAAGUGUUUCUUCAGUGAUAUUCCUCCUUUCUGGCAAUAUCUGGUGGAAUUUUAGCAAGCUCAUCAGCUGUUUACACCAUUUGCUUCUGUCUGCUUGGAAUUCAUCAUUCAUUUUCAGGGGACUCAGCGUCUAAGCGGGAGGGAACACAGGUACUGAUCGUCCAUUUUACGACCGAGGAAACCGAGACAGAGAGGUCAAGUGACUUGGCCAAGGACACACGGCAAAUGCUGGUGAAGAGUGAAGUACCACCAGCGCUUGAACACUGAGGGGGCCAGUCAACCGGAAGUGCGGACAGAGUCUGGCAGGAGCAGCAGAUUGUGGACAGAAAUGAAAUGAGGGUACCUCGAUGUGUGAUUUAACGAAUCAUCUGAGAAGUGUAAUCUGAAUGGAGACAGAAGUGUAGCACCUGAAACAUUCCGGAAGACACCGCAGACUGCGGCGUCGAAAGCAGCAGACGGAUCAAUGAGCGCUAAUAUAAAACAUACUCGAGAAUCGGUCUACAGCUCUUGAGAUUGCUGCCAGACCUUCGAAAGCACAGUGUCGCUGGGCUGUCGGCCUAAGGCCAGACUGGAAUUUAUCAAUUAGCUCCCGCCCCUGGAGCCAAUAGGAUGAAGCAGACGGACGGCAGCCUCUUCACGGUUUUGAUUUUUACACGCUGCCGUUUUUAUUUUCUAUUUCCUUUGCCGGAGGAGCCAAGAUUCUGCCUGUUUGUUGGGGAUCAGCUCACGGGAGAGCAUCCUCAAGAGUGCCUUCCCUGCUGCCCUGGCCUGAGUCUAUUCCCCAGAUGAUUUGUGCUGAUGUACGCUCCCAGAACUGGUGACGUAUUGAACUGCUCGGGUCACCAGCGUGUACCUCAGUUUCCUCUCUUGUCCUGCCCCCGCCCCGGCCCCGGGAAUCCACGGAGCCUUAGCAGACACGUCAAACUCAGUCCUAUGGACGGAUCGCCCAGGAGGCUACGUUCCCGCAUGUGGGCAGAACUUUAAAGCACCGACACAUUGCUAAUAAAGCCUUGGUAAAAUUA